UCUAUGACCUCCCUUUGCGUACAGCUUC
rnacentral:sRNA from 1 species